rnacentral:rRNA from 1 species
ACUACAUAUCAAUAAGCGGAGGAAAAGAAACCAACUGGGAUUGCCUUAGUAACGGCGAGUGAAGCGGCAAUAGCUCAAAUUUGAAAGCUGGCCCCUUUGGGGUCCGCGUUGUAAUUUGUAGAGGAUGAUUCGGCGAGGGCUCCCGUCUAAGUCCCCUGGAACGGGGCGUCAUAGAGGGUGAGAAUCCCGUAUGUGAUGGGUUGCCUUAGCCAUGUGAAUCUCCUUCGACGAGUCGAGUUGUUUGGGAAUGCAGCUCUAAAUGGGAGGUAAAUUUCUUCUAAAGCUAAAUACCGGCCAGAGACCGAUAGCGCACAAGUAGAGUGAUCGAAAGAUGAAAAGCACUUUGGAAAGAGAGUUAAAAAGUACGUGAAAUUGUUGAAAGGGAAGCGCUUGCAGCCAGACUUGUCCGCAGUUGCUCAGCCGGUCUCCUGACCGGCGUACUCUUCUGCGGCCAGGCCAGCAUCAGUUCGGGCGGUCGGAUAAAGACCUCGGGAAUGUAGCUCCUCUCGGGGAGUGUUAUAGCCCGGGGUGGAAUGCGGCCAGCCUGGACUGAGGAUCUCGCUUCGGCUAGGAUGCUGGCGUAAUGGCUGUAAGCGGCCCGUCUUGAAACACGGACCAAGGAGUCUAACAUCUAUGCGAGUGUUUGGGUGUCAAACCCAUACGCGUAAUGAAAGUGAACGGAGGUGGGAACCCUCACGGGUGCACCAUCGACCGAUCCUGAUGUCUUCGGAUGGAUUUGAGUAUGAGCAUAGCUGUUGGGACCCGAAAGAUGGUGAACUAUGCCUGAAUAGGGUGAAGCCAGAGGAAACUCUGGUGGAGGCUCGCAGCGGUUCUGACGUGCAAAUCGAUCGUCAAAUUUGGGUAUAGGGGCGAAAGACUAAUCGAACCAUCUAGUAGCUGGUUCCUGCGAG